UACGAGGGGGGCGAGCGUUGUUCGGAAUUAUUGGGCGUAAAGGGUGCGUAGGCGGUUUGGUAAGUCUCGUGUGAAAUCUCCGGGCUCAACUCGGAGCCUGCACGAGAAACUGCCGGGCUUGAGUGUGGGAGAGGUGAGUGGAAUUCCUGGUGUAGCGGUGAAAUGCGUAGAUAUCAGGAGGAACACCUGUGGCGAAAGCGGCUCACUGGACCAUAACUGACGCUGAUGCACGAAAGCGUGGGUAGCAAACAGG
rnacentral:rRNA from 1 species